AGCCCUGUGGUGUAGUGGCCAAUCAUGUAGCCUUCUGGGGGCUACGACGCUGGUUCGAAUCCAGCCAGGGCUA
rnacentral:tRNA from 4 species